GUGCCAGCCGCCGCGGUAAUACAGAGACUGCAAGCGUUACUCGGAUUCACUGGGCGUAAAGGGAGCGCAGGCGGACUCGUGUGUCGGACGUGAAAUACCGGGGCUUAACCCCGGUGCUGCGUCCGAAACUACGAGUCUAGAGACUUGGAGGGGUAAGCGGAAUUCUUGGUGGAGCAGUGAAAUGCGUAGAUAUCAAGAGGAACACCAACGGCGAAGGCAGCUUACUGGACAAGAUCUGACGCUCAGGCUCGAAAGCGUGGGGAGCAAAAGGGAUUAGAUACCCCUGUAGUCCACGCUGUAAACGGUGCGCAUUAGGUCUUGGAGCUUUCGAACGCUCCAGGGCUCAAGCUAACGCAUUAAAUGCGCCGCCUGAGGACUACGGCCGCAAGGCUAAAACUCAAAUGAAUUGACGGGG
rnacentral:rRNA from 1 species